rnacentral:rRNA from 1 species
UACGUAGGGGGCAAGCGUUGUCCGGAAUUAUUGGGCGUAAAGCGCGCGCAGGCGGUUCCUUAAGUCUGAUGUGAAAGCCCACGGCUUAACCGUGGAGGGUCAUUGGAAACUGGGGAACUUGAGUACAGAAGAGGAGAGCGGAAUUCCACGUGUAGCGGUGAAAUGCGUAGAUAUGUGGAGGAACACCAGUGGCGAAGGCGGCUCUCUGGUCUGUAACUGACGCUGAGGCGCGAAAGCGUGGGGAGCGAACAGG